UGCCGCGCGGCCGCGCCAUAACGAGACGGGCAGGCCGGAGUUCGGUAACUUUCACCUGUUCGUCAACGUAGCUACUUGGAAAGCGCUCAACUGCGCCGACUGCGCGCUUUGCGCCUGCCGCUGUGUAAUAUGUUUUCGUCAAUGGAUAUGAAAGGUGUGUGUCGAGGGCAAUGUAACACACCGCAAUGUUAGUGCGACGGAUUUUGCCGCGCCGUGAACAAUGAGCCUGCCGCAGCAUACCAGGCCGGUUGGUGUCCGUACUGCGGCCACAGUCCAGUACAACAUGUUCGAAUUGGUGUUGCUCAACAAUACGAAUGUACUGCCACUGGAGGUGCCAACACCAGCAGCUUCGUAAUGCCUGCUUCACAGCAUAGCAUACCGGAGACGCCGUUCAUCAAAUGACAGGCACAGAACAAAGCUUGCAAGGACCAUGUGAAACUCCUGAUACGGAAUUCACCUCUCUACAAUGUGCAGCUACCUUGACAACUGAUGCAAGGUCUAGUACUUGUACUGAGACACUUGAGGCUUCCACGAGGUCAACCGCAGUUGCCACAACAGAUGACGCAUUGAGCUACCCCUCGGCAUUUAGACAAACUCCAGGACUGCUUCAGAGUGUUGUGGUCAAGGCAGACAAGUUUCCCCAGUGCUGGGCAAACAGCAAGCUUCUGCACAUUUUGCGUCAGUUAAAGUGUAGCUGGAUGCACGACUUGUUACAUUUUCAGUGUUCGCUAUCAAGGUGCUGUUAGAGUGUACUAGAACAGCGUAGUUCUUGGAACGAGCUUCUAAAAGUGAAGCCAAAACAGGGUCCAUCCGCUUGUGGCAUUGCGAUCGGUAGUCUGCAAUGCGUCUUUGUUUAAAAGCUGCACACCGCUGAUUGCAGCGCCACAAGUGGAUUGACCCGGUUUGGGCUUCACUUUCUGUAAUGCGGCCGUUCCGACCACUCCCCUAUUCUAGUACAUUCUAGUGCUGUGUUACACAAGGCAGUGUUUGAUUUUAAGAAUAUUAUUUCUUUAUUGGAGGACAACAAUCUUACGAUAGUGCAUAACUAGCAUUCAACUAACUUUCAGAUGUUGUGCAAAUGAUGCAGGACAAAAGGGCGAUGCAGGCUACACGCAUGCUACACUGUGUAUGCGUCACUCUUUUGCCCUCUGUCGUGUGAGCUGUGCCUAAGGCUUUUUGUAUGACAAGCUCGACAUACAAUUUAUGUUAAGAAUUAGAUAGUCACUGACAUCUUCUGUUAUUUAUUUGAAGUUGUGAAUAAAUGUCCUAGAUUCCAAAAUCGUAUAAAGAUACUGGAAUGGUUCAGAGUACCCGAAAUAUUUUAAUGUAACAUGAUUUGAUGACCAGUUUUUUUUUGUUUGUUAAACAGAAGCUAUACCGAGUCGUGUUAAGACACAAAAAACUUUCAUGAGGGAGCACAGUGUUAAUACACUGAUGCUCGCUCUGGCCCACUUUAUAACUUGCUAACAACGAGUAUUAGCUUAUGGGGCAACUGAGUGAGCUGAAAAGAGUGCUAAAACAUUGUGUCGUGGCCCUGUGUGGCCUUUUGUUUCCUUUUCUUUUUUUUAUGCCGCCUGAUACAAUUUCGCCUCUAGAAACAUAACUGAAUCUUGUGUGUAAAACACCUGAUAGAUAAGAAGUUUGUCAUCAUGCUCUGAAGUAUAUAUUUUUUUCUAAGGUUUUGAAGUCUUGAUGUGUUCGUUGAAGGCACAAGAUUAAAAAAGAGCCCUUCAUCAGUUCUGCUUUAGGGUGUAUGUUGGGAGCACAACUUUUCUAAUCAUUCUUCGUCGCGCUAUCAGGUCAAAAAGAUAUGUUCGAAAGUAAGGUUGACACUAAUUUCCACCUUAGGCCCCUCUAGGCAUGUAUACCUACAGAAAGAGGCCAGCUGGAUCUCGUGCCUUUUCUUGAAGACUACCUUCCUUAGUUUCAAGAGGUGUGAGCUUGAGUAAACACAAUAAGUGCUUUGUUGACACAGCACCUGGUUUUGCCUUAGUCAAUUGUGUUGAUAGUGGUGAGAGUUUAUUAAUUCUCUUGGUCUUUCAGUAUGGGCGCACGGCAAGCUUUCUGUGCCUUCAGGUGUUCUUAUUACGCCCAUAUGAGGUAAUUACAAAAUGUGUGUCACGAAGUGAUGUGAUGUUUUCAAGGAAAAUCUGUGAUAGUCCCACUCUUGUGAAUAAUAGCGCUCAAGUCAUAGUACUAUGGUUUUGGUGCAUGGCAAGCUUUCUGUGCCAUAAAGUGUUUGUAUUAUGCCUAUGUUACAAAAUGAAUGUCACUAAGUGCCAUGACAUUUCUAGGGAACAGCUGUGACAGUUCUACUCCUGUGAUUAAUAGUGCGCAAGUCAUAGUAUAUGUGAUCUUGUUCAGUUUGUACACUGUGAGAGGAAAGGGACUCCGUACGUGCGAACACAAGUGCAUAUCAUUGUGUUUAUGUGACAAUUCCUACUGUUUGAGUUCUAAUAAACUGCGA